GGGGGAGUGCAGGAUCUUGGGCUGUGUCCCCAAGCGCCCUUGACUCCGGGGCCUGCACUGCUGGAAUCAUGCUCCCGAGCUGCACAGUCCCCU
rnacentral:pre_miRNA from 1 species